rnacentral:snRNA from 1 species
GCUUGCUUCAGCAGCAAGCAUACACUAAAAUUGGAACAAUACAGAGAUUAGCAUGGCCCCUGUGCAAGGACGACAUGCAAAUUCGUGUGGCGUUCCAUAUUUUU